rnacentral:rRNA from 1 species
UUGAACGCUGGCGGCAGGCCUAACACAUGCAAGUCGAGCGGAUGAAGGGAGCUUGCUCCUGGAUUCAGCGGCGGACGGGUGAGUAAUGCCUAGGAAUCUGCCUGGUAGUGGGGGAUAACGUCCGGAAACGGGCGCUAAUACCGCAUACGUCCUGAGGGAGAAAGUGGGGGAUCUUCGGACCUCACGCUAUCAGAUGAGCCUAGGUCGGAUUAGCUAGUUGGUGGGGUAAAGGCCUACCAAGGCGACGAUCCGUAACUGGUCUGAGAGGAUGAUCAGUCACACUGGAACUGAGACACGGUCCAGACUCCUACGGGAGGCAGCAGUGGGGAAUAUUGGACAAUGGGCGAAAGCCUGAUCCAGCCAUGCCGCGUGUGUGAAGAAGGUCUUCGGAUUGUAAAGCACUUUAAGUUGGGAGGAAGGGCAGUAAGUUAAUACCUUGCUGUUUUGACGUUACCAACAGAAUAAGCACCGACUAACUUCGUG